UACGGAGGGUGCAAGCGUUGUCCGGAUUUAUUGGGUUUAAAGGGUGCGUAGACGGCUUUUUAAGUCAGUGGUGAAAGACGGCAGCUUAACUGUCGCAGUGCCAUUGGUACUGGGAAGCUUGAGUGCAGUUGAGGUAGGCGGAAUUUAUGGUGUAGCGGUGAAAUGCAUAGAUACCAUAAAGAACACCGAUAGCGAAGGCAGCUUACUAAACUGUAACUGACGUUGAGGUACGAAAGCAUGGGGAUCGAACAGG
rnacentral:rRNA from 1 species